rnacentral:lncRNA from 1 species
AUCACAAAACCCUUUGGUGCUAUUCAUGACUCGGCAUUAAAAACAAACAACCCCCCUUUUUUUCCGCCUGCAACCCACAUUCGCGCUGCGUCCCGGCGGCAGAGCCCUCCGUCCCAGGGCCACCAGCUUCAGCCGCGGCCUGGCGGCAGAUCCGGGCGCUGCCUUACCCUGGGAGCGAACUUGGGCGAAGGGCCGUGCCCCGCCGAGCAGCCCGAGCUCCCCCUCGCCUGGCUCCAGCUGCAGGGCGUGUGUCGUUUGCACGGAGCGGUUUCGAGACUUCCUGUUCGGAAGCAUCCUAAACACAACAGAACCCGCGCCUUUUUCGCGUGUUGUUUUUCCCUCCUCACCAUCCCUGGCAGCCGGGCUGAACUCUCCGCCUGCGUUUUUCCGCAGCAGCGCUCGGUACGCCGCGUGGGAACCCAGCGCCGCCGGGGCACCGCCAGCACCUCCAGCCUCCCGCUGCUGGAGGGAUCCAUCAGUCCGUCUUCUGCACCCCCCCGGAGCCCGUCGUGCCGAGCAAGCAGCGGUGCCCGGCGGGAGAGCUCGGCCCUGCACAGCCGCCUUUGUCUGCGGACGGAGAGCAACCCGGGGCCAGACUCCACCCGGCCCGGCCCCGGCCGGCACACGAGCGGGACGGAGGGCGGCACCACGGCAGCAGCACGGGGAAGUUUUCAGCAGAGCCCACGCUCCCCCACGGCACGUGGCCGCCUCCCGCUCCCGUCCCGUCGCGCCGCCCCACCCGGCGCCCCCACCGCGGCCUGGCAGCGCCCCCGCCCCGCGCGGGGCUCGGGAUGCUCCGAGCGACUUCCGCGGGGCACAAAGCGCGGACGCCGCCCCCCCGGCUCCGCCGUUCCCGUUAGCUCCGGCGCCAACGCUUCUGAUUCCACGUUUUGUGUUUUUUUUUUUAAUUCCGUUUUUUUUUUUUUUUUCCUCGCCCCCCCCCCCCCCCCCCCCCGCAGAGCAAGCACGGAGAAGGACCCGCUUCCGCGGAGCGGCGGGUGUGGGGGGGGGGGUCGCGAAGCUGCAGUAGCCAUGCCAAUGCCGAUUGCAUCAUGCUCUUCGGGAGGCGAUCUGGGGGGAAAACCCCGGCUCAGCUCCCGCCGCCCCCAGCCCGCCGCACGGCUGCCGCCCCCAGCCCGGCCGCCGCCACACCGACCACCCCGCGCCCUUCUUCCUCCUCCUCCUCCUCCUUCUCCUCUUCCUCCCGGGCACGGACAGCCGCAACCCAGCCCGGCGGCCCUACCUGACGGCGCGGCGGGCUGCGGGCGGCGGCGGCACCGGCCGGCUCUGGCACGCUGCGGGGCCGCGGGGGGCGGGGACGGGGGCGGGCGCGGGGCGGUGGGGCUCCAGAGCCCCGCACCCGCCCCCGUCCCCGCCCCCCAUGGGCUGAUCGUGACGUAA